AAUCAAUCAUCAGCCUGCUCUUUUGUUCUUCUUUCAUCCAGUGUCAUUUUCUGGAGAGCUUUGGAAGACACUGCAAGUUGCUACUUGCUGGAGAAACAAGGUUAGUACCUAUCCAUCUUGUGCAACAAAAUGUCAUUGUUCAGCCAAGCAAAAGUCAAGAUUUUUUACGCUUUUCUAUCGAUUUUUCAGCAUCAGACGAACUUCUUAACAACUGUACACCAUGUAUUCAAGCUACCAACGUAGAUCAGGAAGCGACGAUGAGUUCAUUCAUUUUGUUCUCCCUACUUUAGGAGAUACAUCACAAUCAUCUUCUAGUAGGAGACCAAUGCACACAUCAAAGCUUAUGGGGGGUUGUCGUGUUCAUGAGAUUUUAACAGGACAUGAAAGUUUAUGCAAAAGGAAUUUCCGCAUGGAGGUUCCUGUUUUUCAGGCACUAGUCAAUAAACUGCGUGAGAAAAGCUAUCUAGCUAAUACAACAUAUCUUUCAGUAGAAGAGCAAGUUGCUAUAUUUUUGUAUGGAGUGGCAAAAAAUGCGACUAAUGAAACACUUCAAGAUUGGUUUCAGCAUAGCCCAGAUACAAUACAUCGACAUUUUAAAAGAGUGCUUGAAGCAAUCACCAAUCUCACAACUAUCUACAUACGUCCACCUUCUCUACACCCACAUCCAGUAUUGAGCAAACCAAAGUUCUACCCCUUUUUUAAGAACUGUAUUGGUGCUAUAGACGGUACUCACAUCCCUAUGAAGCUUCCAUUGGAUGAGCAAGAACCAUACAGAAAUAGGAAGCAAACAAUCUCGCAAAAUGUUAUGGUUACCUGCAUUUUGACUUGAAGUUCGUGCAUAUACAUCCUGGUUGGGAGGGAUCAGCUUCAGAUGCAAGAGUUCUAAAUGAUGCACUUAACCAUGGUUUUGAAGUUCCCGAUGGUAAAUUUUAUCUCGUGGAUGCUGGUUAUGCAAACACACCACAGUUUCUUGCUCCAUACCGUGGUACUAGGUAUCAUUUAAACGAACAAGGAAGAGUUCGUCAAAGGCCACAAAAUCACAGGGAACUAUUUAAUCUUCGACAUGCUCAACUUCGGAAUCAUGUUGAGAGAAUUAUCGGCAUAUGGAAAAUGAGAUUUCCUAUACUGAAAGUUACUUCACAUUAUCCAAAAGAAAAACAGGUCGACAUAACCGUUGCUUGUGCUGUUCUACAUAACUUCAUACGCCUACACAAUGGAGAUAUGACUUGGCCUAGUGACGAUACAAUGGAUAUUGAUCACGAGUUGAUUAUUGAUGUGCCAAAUGGAGACCAUAACUAUCAUGAAGACAUACGUGCUUUCAACUACUCAAGGGAAGCAGGAAAUCAAAUGCGAGAUAAUAUAGCAAAUCAUAUGUGGGAGCAGUAUGUAUCACAGAGAAGAUAGACAUAGUGAUAAGGCUUGCAAGUUGUAUCAGCAUCCAUGUACUGGAAUAUUAAAGUUCUACUUCAUUAUAUAAUUUUUAUCC